CCCUUAGAUGUUCUGGGCAGCACGCGCGCUACAAUGGUCUUCGCAAACGGAUGCAUUCUCGAAGGAGAAUGCCAAUCUUGGAAUCUAUGCCUUGGUCGGGACAGUUGCUUGCAAUUUUUCGACUCGAACCAGGAAUUCCUUGUAAUCGUGAUUCAUCACAUCACGAUGAAUACGUCCCUGCCCUUUGUACACACCGCCCGUCGCUCCUACCGAUCGAAGAGUUAGGUGAAUUGUUUUGAUCGAUAAGAUUUGACUAUGGUCAACUCUCGUUGUGAAAUUCUGUGAAUCUGACUGUUUAGAGUAAGGAAAAGUCGUAACA
rnacentral:rRNA from 1 species